rnacentral:rRNA from 1 species
CCUACGGGGGGCUGCAGUGGGGAAUAUUGGACAAUGGGGGCAACCCUGAUCCAGCCAUGCCGCGUGUGUGAAGAAGGCCCUCGGGUUGUAAAGCACUUUCAGUGAGGAAGAACGCCUGGUGGUUAAUACCCAUCAGGAAAGACAUCACUCACAGAAGAAGCACCGGCUAACUCCGUGCCAGCAGCCGCGGUAAUACGGAGGGUGCGAGCGUUAAUCGGAAUUACUGGGCGUAAAGCACGCGUAGGUGGCUUGAUAAGCCGGUUGUGAAAGCCCCGGGCUCAACCUGGGAACGGCAUCCGGAACUGUCAAGCUAGAGUGCAGGAGAGGAAGGUAGAAUUCCCGGUGUAGCGGUGAAAUGCGUAGAGAUCGGGAGGAAUACCAGUGGCGAAGGCGGCCUUCUGGACUGACACUGACACUGAGGUGCGAAAGCGUGGGUAGCAAACAGGAUUAGAUACCCUUGUAGUC